rnacentral:rRNA from 1 species
UACGGAGGGUGCGAGCGUUGUCCGGAAUCACUGGGCGUAAAGGGCGCGUAGGCGGCCUGAUAAGUAGGGGGUGAAAUCCUGCGGCUUAACCGCAGGGCUGCCUUCUAAACUGUCAGGCUAGAGCACAGUAGAGGCAGGUGGAACUCCCGGUGUAGCGGUGGAAUGCGUAGAGAUCGGGAAGAACAUCAGUGGCGAAGGCGGCCUGCUGGGCUGUUGCUGACGCUGAGGCGCGACAGCGUGGGGAGCAAACAGG